rnacentral:rRNA from 1 species
GAUCCUGGCUCAGAUUGAACGCUGGCGGCAUGCUUUACACAUGCAAGUCGAACGGUAACAGGGAGCUUGCUCCGCUGACGAGUGGCGAACGGGUGAGUAAUAUAUCGGAACGUACCCAGAAGUGGGGGAUAACGUAGCGAAAGUUACGCUAAUACCGCAUACGAUCCACGGAUGAAAGUAGGGGACCUUCGGGCCUUAUGCUUUUGGAGCGGCCGAUAUCUGAUUAGCUAGUUGGUGAGGUAAAGG